UACGGAGGGUGCGAGCGUUAAUCGGAAUUACUGGGCGUAAAGCGUCCGUAGGCGGCUUGUUAAGUCUGAUGUGAAAGCCCUGGGCUUAACCUGGGAACGGCAUUGGAUACUGGCGAGCUAGAGUUCGGUAGAGGGUGGUGGAAUUCCCGGUGUAGCGGUGAAAUGCGUAGAGAUCGGGAGGAACACCGGUGGCGAAGGCGGCUUCUUGGUCUGCAGCUGACGCUGAGGCGCGAAAGCGUGGGGAGCAAACAGG
rnacentral:rRNA from 1 species